rnacentral:rRNA from 1 species
UGGGGAAUCUUGCGCAAUGGGCGAAAGCCUGACGCAGCCAUGCCGCGUGAAUGAUGAAGGUCUUAGGAUUGUAAAAUUCUUUUACCAGGGACGAUAAUGACGGUACCUGGAGAAAAAGCCCCGGCUAACUUCGUGCCAGCAGCCGCGGUAAUACGAAGGGGGCUAGCGUUGCUCGGAAUUACUGGGCGUAAAGGGAGCGUAGGCGGGUUGACAAGUUGGAGGUGAAAGCCCAGGGCUCAACCCUGGAAUUGCCUUCAAAACUGUCAGCCUUGAGUAUGGAAGAGGUAAGUGGAACUCCGAGUGUAGAGGUGAAAUUCGUAGAUAUUCGGAAGAACACCAGUGGCGAAGGCGACUUACUGGUCCAUGACUGACGCUGAGGCUCGAAAGCGUGGGGAGCAAA